AGGUGACUUUAAGUUGUCUAAAUGUACAGUGAAAAGCUAAGUCUCCUGCUUUGAGAAGUCUAUUGCUUCAGUUUCGCUUUCUCAAGAAAUGAGAGAAGGUCUUUGAAUAUAAUUGUUCUCAUUUCAACACGUGCCCCCAAAAUGUUGGUAACUAAGCUUGCUUCUGUGAGGUAGAAAGCCAGUGAUGAUAAUUCCCUUUUUGUGGAAGAAUUAUUGGCCUAUGGAGGCUUUUUGCGAUGACUUUCUACUGCAGAUGUGAAUGCCCUGUGUUGUGUGUGAGAACUGGAAUGCCUAUGAAUAUCUGUGCUAAAAUGGAAUGGCUAGGCUCAGCUAGCUCCAGUUCUUGUGGUGAAGUGGAUACCUGCCUGUCUCUGACUGAAAACAACAGUAAAUCCUUGCUUACCUCCAAAAGAAAAGGAUGCGGUGUCUAUUCCUGUGCUUGAGCCUUGUUCCCUUGCUGCUGAUCUUGUUUCGUGGGUAACACAAGAAGGGAGAAAAAUGAUCCCGUAAACAAUUGGCUGUUUGGCAUGGCAAGCUCUGUGAAAGAAACACUUCAUAGGCUUAGUAACAAACACUUGCAUUUCUGCAGUAAGUAACUUGUAAGUGUCAGACUGGCUUUACUCACUGAAUGAAGUCACCUGCUGUGGUGCCGAUGUCUGUAUCUUUGCAGCUGUAUUUCUGGAUAGAAGUUUCUUGAGCUCAAAGGUGGAUGAGCUGGCUGGAGAGGGGAAUGGCAGCAACUGUCUUGCAGGAGAAAAAAAGACUCUUCCUUUCUUAAGAUGAGUUCACUGAGCGCUCUCUGGUUUCUUCCUAGAUAAUCUGAACUAGUGUUUCUUGGCAAAACCCUUUUGUGUGGAAUCUUGGGAAGUUAGUUAUUGUGAAUCUUUGUCCCCAGCUGAGGCUGAGCUCUAACAUGAAUGACAAAAAUACUCUGUGCUUACUUCUUGAGCUUGUCUGGGUCUCUUUGGAUUGCAUCCUCUUCCUUAAGUGCAUUAGCUGCGUUGGACAGUGUGGUGUCACCUUCAAACUUGCUGAGGAUACAGUUGAUUCCACUGUUGGUGUCGCUGAUGAAGUGCUGGAGAGAAGGUUGUUGUGGGGGACAGCGUCAAAAGCCUUACCGAAAUCCAGACAGUUGACAGCAGCAGCUCUUGCCUGGUCUGCUCACCCCGUCGUAGGAAGAAAGGCCAGUAGAUUGUUCAGACAGGAUCCACCCUUGUUGAAGCCAGCAGGACAUCACCCUUUUUCCAGCCUCCACGAGGACUUCACUCGAGUGCCCUGACUCCUGAAAUCCCAUCGAGAGUGGCUUGGCAGCUGCGUACACCGAUUCUCUGAAGGCUCUGCGAUGCGUUUCAUUGAAACCCGCCAGGUUCCUCAAGCGGCUGCGAAGCUGAUCUUUGCUUACGGUGGGAGGGAUGCAGUCCUCACCUUUCAGCCGCUGCACUCAGGGGGGCGGUGAGGAGCAGCUGACAGUAAAGAAAGAGGCAGAAGUGUUAAGUACCUCAGCUUUCUCCUCUUCUAUUAUUAACAGCCUGCCUGUAUUGCUCACUGGGGUGUGUAUGCCGGCCUGGACUUUGUUUUGUCUUGUUUACCUGUGUUUUUCUUGGCAGUCCAAGUAUGCUGCAAAUUUGUCAGCAUCUAUUGAAGUAACACAGGGCUCUAUCAGCAAUGGAAGCAAUACUGCCUUGAGGAUAAACAGUUACUAGAGUUCUAGAAAUAGCAAAGCACUGAAGUUACCAGUCUCACAGGUGUUUCAAAGGUACUAAAAUGUAAACCUCUGAUAGAAAAAACAAAUAAAAAAAGUCAGUAUUUGCUAGUCUUAA